AUGAAGAAUCUGAAGGAUCCUAAACCGAAGAUAUUUCCCUCAAGUACGAGGGGAGGUAAGAAACUGCCAUCCAGUUCUGCUUUAGAUUCACCUUCUAUUAUGAGUAAACUUGCAACACCACCACAUGCUAUGAAUUCCAAUAUGUCGCAAGUUAUUGAUUAUGCUACUUCUACUAUGAUUGAUGCUUAUGAUGAUGCUAGUACCUUGCUUGAUAAUGAUGAUGUGCCACUUGGUGAUUUUCUUGAUGAACAAAUUGCUAGAGUUAUACAACAUGAUGUUGUUGAAUCUGACGAUGAGCUCGAAACUGAAACUCCUGAAACACCUGCUAGAACUAGCCUUCCUAGAUAUGAAUUGCCUAAGGUACCGGACGGUUAUGUUAUGAGUGAAGAAGCAACUAGAGAUAUUCUUGCUUGCAAUGAUAGAGAUGAUAUAGAGAAAUUAUUAUGCAAGUAUAAAGAAAAAUCUCUGAAUGCUAGAAUGAAAUGUGAUCCUAAGUUUGCUACUUCACUAUCUGCAUUGGUGAUAAGGAUUAUGAAUUCUCUGUCGACCUAG
rnacentral:rRNA from 1 species